rnacentral:rRNA from 1 species
GGGUCAGUAGGUUGGUCGUGCCACCGGUACGUACUGGUCUCACUGAUUCCUCCUUCCUGAAGAACCGUAAUGCCAUUAAUUGGGUGUUGCGGGGAAACAGGACUGUUACUUUGAAAAAAUUAGAGUGUUUAAAGCAAGCUAACGCUUGAAUACAUUAGCAUGGAAUAAUGAAAUAGUACGAUCGACCCUAUUUUGUUGGUUUCUAGGAUUGACGUA